rnacentral:rRNA from 1 species
UGCGUAGGGGGCAAGCGUUGUCCGGAAUCAUUGGGCGUAAAGCGCGUGUAGGCGGCUCGGUAAGUCCGCUGUGAAAGUCCAGGGCUCAACCCUGGGAUGCCGGUGGAUACUGUCGAGCUCGAGUCCGGAAGAGGCGAGUGGAAUUCCUGGUGUAGCGGUGAAAUGCGCAGAUAUCAGGAGGAACACCUAUGGCGAAGGCGGCUCUCUGGGACGGUACUGACGCUGAGACGCGAAAGCGUGGGGAGCGAACAGG